UAUCUUCUUAUGUGUUCAGCAGCAGAAAUAAACUCCUUUAGGUUUGUCUGUAAAAGGUGAAAGAAUUUUAACUUCAGGGUGAACUAUCCAUAAAACUGACAACCGAAUUAUUUCCACACUAAUAAUGUCACUUAAUCUGCUGGUAAUUUUGGCCUUGUUGUAUUCGGGAGACAACAGGAACUUGUCAUCUUUUAUGCCGUACAAUAGGAAGAAAGUCAAAAGACUACUUGAUUUAACUUUAUAGCAUUAUGUGUACAAGUUUGGAUGUGUGGCGGGAUCGUGCAGAAUGAGCGAGGAUCGAUGUGACCUUAAAAGCGUUUAACCUGCUCUAUGCCACUCAACUCAGUUACAGCUGUGGAGGUUUGCAUAGCAACAACCGCGCCGCUCAACGUAAGGGGACAUCUUUAUCUGACCAACCUCUUUCAAAAACGAAAAUAUAUAUUUACUUCUGUUCAUAUAUAUUUUUGCCAUCAUAUCAAAGACAAGUUACAAUAAACAUUCUAUAAGACGCCUGUUUGUUACUUGUAAAUACGUAACUUCAAUAUUAACUUUUGUUUGCCGUUUUUGAAGUUCGCUGGUGUUGAAAUCUGCACAGCAACAAGCGCCAUGAUUGCGUUUUCUGAGUCCCCUAGUAACUGGCGCGCGCGGUUUCUGUCCAAUAAAAGAGCGCGUGAUGUGUUCGCACUUACGCGGUGGAACUGUUUUACCCAACAUCCCUACUUUUCAUAGGAUUAUUUAAUUAUUGUUUAAAAAAAAACGUUAUUUUUGACUGACAUCACCUUCUUGUUCUUUUGGGGUAACUAGUAAGCAGAUGUCAAGGUAAAUGGACCAAGAGAAGCACAUUUCUAUUCUACGGUGGAUUUUCCUGGAAAAGUACACUAUGCUCAAAAUCUAUUUGUAUACUCUUAACUCUCAGGUCAGUUGUGGUAAUUUGGUCCCUGUUCUGAGAAAAACAUGAUAUAUUCACACCGUACUUACUCAACCUGCCUGCCUCUCUGAUGAAAUCACCAUUACCAGGUUUCUGCUCGAUUCAGUAAACGCACAUGUGCUAUUGUACCAGGUGAUCCAAUACUAACAAUAAACUUCUGGUGUAACACAAGCAAGAGGACAGUGAAGCAUCUGCUGUCUAUAAGGGUAAAAUUACAGGUUGUGAAAAGAGCCCCAUGGACUUCUGGGAGAAAAAAAAUAGUGCUCCCUGACAAAAGCCUGUAACCUCCCACAUUAUAAUAUUUACUUAUGCUGUUUGCUUUGUCUGUAUGCCUUUCACUUUCUUGUUUUCUCUUUGUUAGGCACUUCAUGAGGAUAUAGGACUUUUUUUCCUAUAUACUGCCAGUGUUUUAUGCAUUUCAGAAAAUAAUUCCACUAAACCAUGCUUCUUAUAACCAGUAUUUAAAAUGGUUGAACCAGUGUUGUACUCACAGUUAGUUGACUAUGUCACAGCUCAGUGUCAUGUGCUCUACAUUCCUUUCCUGGAGAAAACAAAAAUAAAGGAUAUUUAUGAAGCACAAAUUCUGACUGUUAUGUUUCUUAACACAUAAUUACAGGUACAAAAACAAAAGUAUACCAUCCACAUAGAAUGCAGUUUUUUUAUUAUUAUUAUGGGAUAGGUUUAAUUAUCAUGUGCUUGUACAUUAUGCAAAAUAUUUAAAUGAAUACUGCAUAAUCUUGUUUGAAGAUGAAUUCUUAUGUGUCAUGGCGUGUGACUGUCUCUGUGUGUGUGUGUGUGUGUGUGUGUGUGUGUAGAAAACUCAUCCCCAAAAAAUAACACCGGAACGGUACCAAACAUAUGAAGAGGUGUUUCCUAAAAAUUACAAAAUGUGUGAUUUAAAAAUAUGAAGAUCAAUUACUUUUAAAUUUAAAAAAGUAUUAUAUUAAGUAGUUUGAAAACACACUUGUCCAUACAAAAGACAAAAAAAUUAAAUAAAACCAAAAAGACAAAC